UGCAAGUCGAGCGGUAAGGCCCCUUCGGGGGUACACGAGCGGCGAACGGGUGAGUAACACGUGGGUGACCUGCCCUCAGCUCUGGGAUAAGCCUGGGAAACCGGGUCUAAUACCGGAUAUGACCCCACAGUGCAUGCUGUGGGGUGGAAAGCCUUGUGCGGCUGAGGAUGGGCCCGCGGCCUAUCAGCUUGUUGGUGGGGUGAUGGCCUACCAAGGCGACGACGGGUAGCCGGCCUGAGAGGGCGACCGGCCACACUGGGACUGAGACACGGCCCAGACUCCUACGGGAGGCAGCAGUGGGGAAUCUUGCGCAAUGGGCGAAAGCCUGACGCAGCGACGCCGCGUGAGGGAUGACGGCCUUCGGGUUGUAAACCUCUUUCAGCUCCGACGAAGCGAAAGUGACGGUAGGAGCAGAAGAAGCACCGGCCAACUACGUGCCAGCAGCCGCGGUAAUACGUAGGGUGCGAGCGUUGUCCGGAAUUAUUGGGCGUAAAGAGCUCGUAGGCGGUCUGUCGCGUCGGCUGUGAAAACUCGGGGCUCAACUCCGAGCUUGCAGUCGAUACGGGCAGGCUAGAGUUCAGCAGGGGAGACUGGAAUUCCUGGUGUAGCGGUGAAAUGCGCAGAUAUCAGGAGGAACACCGGUGGCGAAGGCGGGUCUCUGGGCCGAUACUGACGCUGAGGAGCGAAAGCGUGGGGAGCGAACAGGAUUAGAUACCCUGGUAGUCCACGCCGUAAACGUUGGGCGCUAGGUGUGGGAUCCCUUCCACGGGUUCCGUGCCGCAGCUAACGCAUUAAGCGCCCCGCCUGGGGAGUACGGCCGCAAGGCUAAAACUCAAAUGAAUUGACGGGG
rnacentral:rRNA from 1 species